UGAACUUCUACAUUCACAGUAGCUACAA
rnacentral:sRNA from 1 species